UACAUGGGGUGCAAACGUUGCUCGGAAUUAUUGGGCGUAAAGCGCGCGUAGGCGGUUACUCAAGUCGGAUGUGAAAGCCCUCGGCUUAACUGAGGAAGUGCACCCGAAACUGAGUAGCUAGAGUACUAAAGAGGGUCGCGGAAUUCCCGGUGUAGAGGUGAAAUGCGUAGAUAUCUGGAGGAAUACCGGUGGCGAAGGCGGCAUCCUGGACCGGGAUUGACACUGAGGAGCGAAAGCUAGGGGAGCAAACGGG
rnacentral:rRNA from 1 species